rnacentral:rRNA from 1 species
CCUACGGGGUGGCAGCAGUAAGGAAUAUUGGUCAAUGGAGGAAACUCUGAACCAGCCAUCCCGCGUGAAGGAUGAAGGGGCUCUGCCUUGUAAACUUCUUUUGUCUGGGGCGAAAAAGCUCGAUUUAUCGAGAACUGACGGUACCAGAAGAAUAAGCACCGGCUAACUCCGUGCCAGCAGCCGCGGUAAUACGGAGGGUGCAAGCGCUAUCCGGAAUCACUGUGUUUAGACGGUGCGUAAACGGAGUAGUGGAAGGCUGUGGCUUAACCAUGGAAUUGCCAUUGAUACUGCAGAGCUUGAAUGAGGUUGAGGUUGGCGGAAUGUGACAUGUAGCGGUGAAAUGCUUAGAUAUGUCAUGGAACACCGAUUGCGAAGGCAGCUGACUGGACCUAUAUUGACGCUGAGGCACGAAAGCGUGGGGAGCGAACAGGAUUAGAUACCCGAGUAGUC